rnacentral:tRNA from 1 species
GGAUAUAUACAGCUCAGUGGUGGAGCACAUGCUUAGCAUGCACAAGGUGCUGGGUUCAAUCCCCAGUUCCUCCA